GGAAUGCCCAGGAAGACAUUCACCAGGUGGUCUGUACCCUUCACGCCCACCUGCCGACCUCUCACACGACCCAGGGGGGUAUCCACUUCAGGCUGAGUGACACUGGCUCCUGAGAUCGGGAGAGAGAGGUCACCGGUGUUUCAGAGAAAGAAAGAAAGGAAGAAAGGAAGCAAGCAAGCAGGCUGAGCAAGCCAUGGGAGGCAAACUAGUAAGCAUCUCCAGUGCACGCCAUCUGAAUCAGCUCCUGUCUCCAGGAUCCUGCCUUGUUUGAGUUUCUAUACUGACUUCCUUCAGUGAUGAACAGAAAUGCUGAUUUGGAAGCCAAAUAAACCCUUUCUUCCUCAA